rnacentral:lncRNA from 1 species
UCCUCCCUCCAAAUCAUAAAAGUUGCUUGUUUCACGUGGGGAGAGUAGCUCAUCGGCGUUUCUUGCUCUAAUGGGUAAUUACUCUCCAGCAACUGAUGGGGGCCGUAUUUUCCGAAGGAAGGAAGCAGUGCUCCCAGGCUCUGUCCAUUGGAGAUGCCACGCGGGCUCAGCUCUGGGUUUUACCUCUCCGCCCUGGACUAUUAAUUUGUCUGGCUCCAUAUUGAUUUUCUGUGCUGUGGUUUUGGGGCUGAGUUUGGGUUGAGACACAGGACUUGCUGCCUUGGCUCUUCUGUCACCCUCCAGCCCUCAGGUGAGGAGGGGGCCUGAGGUCUUCGAUGGGAUCACAGCCACCUUGCCCCCAACCAUGGAUUUCUUCAUCCAGGCAACUCUCCUUUGUCUGUUAUGUGCCUGGCACCCUGCUAGGCCAGCCUCACCUUCAAGGAGCUCACUGACCCAGCAUCCAGCUGGAGGAGCAGGUUUUAAGGGGUUACUUGCCAUGGCCAUCUGGCUGGCCCUCGGCCUGCUCUCUCCUGACAUCAAGCCAUCUGAAGGCCAGGCUCUGACGUGGCCACUCCAGGCUCCUUUGGAUUUGGCAGCCGCCUGUCAUUGCUCAGUCCUCAGGCCUCUGAAGGUUGAUCGGCGCCUCCUGGACCCACCCAUGGACUCUUCUUGGCUGAGUUGCUCUUUUACAUUUAUUUGUCUGCUUUUGAUUAAUACUUGUCCCCACCAGAGACUGUCAGCAACAACAAGGACAGUUUUCAGUCACCACUGUAUGCCCCGCACCCAGCAGGGGGCCUGGGGCACAGCAGCCCCGUGCCAAGUAGUACUGAGUGGCGGGCUGACUCCCGGAUGGGCAAACUCCCCCAACUUUCUCCUCUUUUUAUUCUGUUUUGGUUCUGAGCCUUUUCUGCAUCACAGAACACUGAGAACUCGGCUAAAACCCUCCAGGACAACGUGUGGGCACCAUCACACGCGGGACCCUCGUCCCUCCUGAAGCCGGCCAGGUCAAGGGUCCCCGGGUCAAGGGUUCUUGUCUAAAAGCUCCAGGCUCCAUCUGGCCCCUGCUGACACCCUCCUGGACCUGAGGUCCAGCUCAUGUGGGAGUGGGAGGGAGCACCAGCAGGCCCUGCAGAUGAUGGCUAAUGGAGGAAGGGCCGGCGAGCGAGGAGCAGGCCGGGAGGGGAGAGACGCUGACGAGAAAGCCCGGAACUGAGGCUUCUUCCUGUGUGUGGGGCUGGAGGUGGGAAAUCAUGGAGGCUUCCAGGGAGAUUUGGGCUGUUCCUCACCUUGGAGAUAAUGGACUGAAUCCAUGUUGCCCCGAACUUGCUCCAUCCCUGGGCUUUACCCCGAGUCUGAGGUUUAACACGGUCCCCUCUGGCAGCUGAAUUCAGAGGGCAGAGUCUCGGAGUUUUUAGAAUAGAAAAUAGCCUCAGACAUCAUGAACCAAGCUGCUCUGUGAUGAGGAUCAGGGCUGCCCCAGGGAGAAGCCCAAGGCAUCCUGCCCUACAUACUGAUCUGUAUCAUCCUCCGGGAGCAUAGGAUGUCCUGACUUAAUCCGAUCUGAUUCUUAUCUAAAGUUAUAGGACCACCCGAUAACCAGACCCCACCUGCACUGAUACCAUUUUUAUGAUUUUUUUUCAUGAUCUUUCCUUUGUCUUGUAAAGAAAUAACUCACAUACCUAUGCCUUAUAAAUUUAGCCCUGCCCUCAGCCCACUGCAGCUCUUACUGCCCGUGGGUCCUGUCCCCAUGCUAUUCCAUACUAUUCUCUGAAUAAAAGAGCACUACUGCCAGACCUUGAGGGUCCAAGAAAUCUUUCUUUUGACUCCUCAACUCACCGAGCCCGCAUC